AUGGGAAGAAGCAAAAUGUCUCUGGAGAGUGCGAUCGUGUGUUUACUCGUUCUGGGGCUGGUCCUGGAGCAGGUGAAGCAAGUAGAGGGCGUGGAUUGCGGCGGGAGCAUCUUCAAAGUGGCCUGCUACCAUUCUUGCCUUCUGGGUCCUAGUACUGUGUUUCAAUGCGCAAACUUCUGUGGCUGUUACCUCCCUGCUGAUUUGGCCUUUGUACGCAGCUCCGAUGAACUAAACACCAUUGAGAAUUGCAGCUUAGAAUGUAGGGCUUCCGUGUGUGACGACAAGGUCAUGGUCAACAUAGCUACCAACACUAAAGAGAUGAAACUCUAUGUGAAACUCUCCGGUGAUGCUUGUGAUAGUUUAUGUAAGGGGAAUGCUCUCCUGGCAUCCCUUGAUCUUGAUGACUAA
rnacentral:rRNA from 1 species